rnacentral:rRNA from 1 species
UAGUCCACGCCGUAAACGAUGUCUACUAGCCGUUGGGAGACUUGAUUUCUUAGUGGCGCAGCUAACGCACUAAGUAGACCGCCUGGGGAGUACGGCCGCAAGGUUAAAACUCAAAUGAAUUGACGGGGGCCCGCACAAGCGGUGGAGCAUGUGGUUUAAUUCGAUGCAACGCGAAGAACCUUACCAGGUCUUGACAUCCUGCGAAUUUUCUAGAGAUAGAUUAGUGCCUUCGGGAACGCAGUGACAGGUGCUGCAUGGCUGUUGUCAGCUCGUGUCGUGAGAUGUUGGGUUAAGUCCCGCAACGAGCGCAACCCUCGCUAUUAGUUGCCAACGGUUCGGCCGGGAACUCUAAUAGGACUGCCUGUGAAAGCAGGAGGAAGGCGGGGAUGACGUCUAGUCAGCAUGGUCCUUACGAUCUGGGCUACACACGUGCUACAAUGGCAAGUACAACGCGCAGCCACUCUGCGAAGAGGCGCUAAUCGCUUAAAGCUUGUCCCGU